AACAAUCAGACAAAGACUUUGACUUUGCCCCCGGCUCCCGUGGAUGCCGACCCUCCGAAGGCUCCAGUCACCUCUAAUUAACACAUCUGUGGAAAUCAUGCACCAGUUGGCAUGACAUUUUUGCCCUGUAAAGACUUGAAGGAGUGAAGCUGAAGAGAUGAAUCCCUGUUUUUCCCUACUGACAUCUUAAUAUCUCAUCCCAGUGCAUGGGCAGAGCAGGUGAGGUGGGUGCUUGUGCCCAGGACUGGGGUCAGCAGCCUAGUAGAUGGCCAUGGCCUCCUGGGCGCAUGUGGCCAUUGGCCCAUCUGACCCACUCUGGUUCAGGCUGGAGGAAAGGCCCCAGAAGCAGCGAUUAUGGGAAUAAAAGGAAAUUUAUACAAGCCAAUGGACAUCCCGCAGACUGUCUUCCAUUCACUGUGGAAUACUCCUUCCUCUUGCCUGAUAAAGUGACAUCUGGUUAGUAUAUCUGCCUGAUUAUCUAGUUCUCUGCAUCACUUUCAGCAACGUAAUCUCUCUAAUUGGUACACAGAAUUUUUUCCAGUAUGGUUAAAACAGCAGAUUUUUGUGUCGCAAUUCCUUCAUGGUUGUUUUUGCUAUCAGCUUCAGAAGUCAUGCAAAAGGAGACUAAUUUUGUCAUUAUUCAUUUACAACAUUACCAUGUUUGCAGCUUCAGAAACAGUAUUUAGGUCUACAUACGAAGGAAAUAAAAUGCCCUAAUUAAUUUUCUGCA
rnacentral:lncRNA from 1 species